AAAGAGGCGAGAUUAUUAUCUCAUCAAAACGUAUGAUGUCCUGUUCGUUACAGAUCAAAAGUUUUUGGUUUAUAUAAAAACUAAUGAAGACGAAGACAUAAGGUAAUUUUUGAUUUGAUUUUUAUAAUUUGCAAUCUGUAUUAUUGAUUUAAUUAUUUUAAUCAGGUACGUUGUACCAUACGAAGAGUUAUUAAGGAUUUUCAUAUUAAAACAGAACAUGAUGGAAUUGUUAAAUUACGUAUGUCAAUGAGUCAUAAAUACAAAAUUCAGAGACCAGCAAUAGAAAAGUUUUUGUCUGUAUGUGCAAUAUGUAAUUCCAAGCAAGGAGCAAAUCGGAAACUAGUUAUAAAACCAAUUAUAACUAAAGAUUUUAAUGAAAGGGGCCAAGUCGAUUUAGUCGAUCUCCAGUCAACACCUGAUAGUAAAUAUAAAUGGAUCAUGAAUUAUCAGGACCACAAUACAAAAUUUGUAUUAUUGCAUCCACUUGAAAGGAAACGGGCUAUAGAAGUGGCAAACAGAUUACUCACUAUUUUUCUUACAUUUGGGACUCCUAAAAUACUUCAAAGUGAUAAUGAACGAGAAUUUGUGAACUCCAUUAUUAAGGAAUUAAAGGAUCUGUGGCCACAAUGUGUAAUAGUCCACGGUUGACCACAUCAUCCCCAAAGUCAGGAAAGCAUUGAAAGAAGUAAUCAAGACAUUGAGAAUAUGAUUCGUGUUUGGAUGAUGGAUAACCAAUCUAAAAAAUGGUCAGUUGGAUUACAAUUUGUACAGUUUCAAAAAAAUUCGUCUUUCCAUCGAGCAAUAGGAUGAUCGCCGUAUAAAGCUUUAUUCGGAUGUGACCCGAAAAAUGGAUUGUCAUCAUCAAAUCUUCCAUCGGAAAUAAUAAAAAAACUAACCACUGAAGAACAUCUUGAAGAAAUUUUAAAUAAUAUUCAACCUAAACAUGAAAAAGAAGGAAUUACAUCAUAUUGUAGCAUUUGCAAUAUAGAAAUGUUAACUGAGUUUGAAUUUUCCGAAAACUGUUAUUUGCAAACAACGUCAACUUGGAUCUCAAGGACAAGAAAAAGCGGCUAAAAUCAUGUUAAAGGUGUCUUUUUAAAUCAUUUUACCUAUUUAAUCUAUUUUUUUGUUUAAAAUUAUUGUACUAUCAUUGUUUUUAGGGCAGUCAAACCAGAAUUCCUGAUUUAAAAAUCGGUGAUUGCAGUGCCUAAAGUUGAUCGAGGACCGUCAGAUCUCGCCAAUGAAAUUGCAGUUAUUGUCAAUCAGAAUGAACAUAAACUUCACCAACUCAGAACUAAAUAUGGUUUAGUAAAAGGCUGGUACAAUUCAGCAAGUUUGAAACCCGCGACAUCUAAUUUUUUUUAAAAUUACUGAAGUUAAUAAUGAUAAAGAACUUACGUUAUGUGAAACAAAAUGGUGUGCUUGUUUUAACGCUUCUGUUAAGUGUAACAGUCGUUGCCAUAGCAGU